CCUACGGGUGGCAGCAGUGAGGAAUAUUGGUCAAUGGACGGAAGUCUGAACCAGCCAUGCCGCGUGCAGGAAGACGGCUCUAUAAGUUGUAAACUGCUUUUGUACAAGGGUAAACCUGAAUACGUGUAUACAGCUGAAAGUACUGUACGAAUAAGGAUCGGCUAACUCCGUGCCAGCAGCCGCGGUAAUACGGAGGAUCCAAGCGUUAUCCGGAUUGAUUGGGUUUAAAGGGUGCGUAGGCGGAUUGAUAAGUUAGAGGUGAAAUGUCCGAGCUUAACUCGGGAACUGCCUCUAAUACUGUUGAUCUAGAGAGUGGAUGCGGUAGGCGGAAUGUAUGGUGUAGCGGUGAAAUGCUUAGAGAUCAUACAGAACACCGAUUGCGAAGGCGGCUUACCAAUCUAUAUCUGACGUUGAGGCACGAAAGCGUGGGGAGCAAACAGGAUUAGAUACCCGAGUAGUC
rnacentral:rRNA from 1 species